UUUUUAAUAUAAGUAUGUCCCAUGCAGUAUUUGGGAAAUACUUAUGCUAAUG
rfam:Pan troglodytes isolate Yerkes chimp pedigree #C0471 (Clint) chromosome 1, whole genome shotgun sequence.